GUUUGUCAUCCUUGCCCUCAGGUCAAGACGGCUUGACAGCCAUCACUAGGAGUCCCUACGACAAGACCAAAGCUUUUGGGCACUGGAGACACUCGUGCAAACUAAAAAAGCCCUAGCCUUGUGGAGCUGACAUGCUGAUGACAGACAGACAGACAACAAACAUGUCAACCAGUAAACAGACUGUGUGAGACGAUGUAUCUGAAGCCUGCCCUUAAAUCUGGAGGCACCCGGCACUAUGGACUUGCGUUCUCCAGCCACAAGGUUAUGGGUCCAGAACCAAGCUCUGCCUCUCUGGAAUGCUUCCCAGAGCUCUGAGUCUGGGAUGAGGCCACAGAGAGCAGAGAGCACUGAGAACACGGCCACAGUCCGAGACGGAGGGUGCCAGGAGCGGCAGCGCCCGGCCACAUUCUUGCAGCGGUCAGUCCUUCUGAUCAAUCCCAUAAGUCACCCUGUAAUCUUCUAAUAAACCCCUCUUCUGCUGAGGC